rnacentral:rRNA from 1 species
CGUACACUCCUACGGGAGGCAGCAGUGGGGAAUAUUGGACAAUGGGCGCAAGCCUGAUCCAGCCAUGCCGCGUGAGUGAUGAAGGCCCUAGGGUUGUAAAGCUCUUUCACCGGUGAAGAUAAUGACGGUAACCGGAGAAGAAGCCCCGGCUAACUUCGUGCCAGCAGCCGCGGUAAUACGAAGGGGGCUAGCGUUGUUCGGAUUUACUGGGCGUAAAGCGCACGUAGGCGGACUAUUAAGUCAGGGGUGAAAUCCCGGGGCUCAACCCCGGAACUGCCUUUGAUACUGGUAGUCUUGAGUUCGAGAGAGGUGAGUGGAAUUCCGAGUGUAGAGGUGAAAUUCGUAGAUAUUCGGAGGAACACCAGUGGCGAAGGCGGCUCACUGGCUCGAUACUGACGCUGAGGUGCGAAAGCGUGGGGAGCAAACAGGAUUAGAUACCCGUGUAGUCCCA